GGAGCUGCGGAAGGAGGGCGGCCCUGAACACGCCGCCGCCUCUGCCCGCUGGGCGACGCUGCUCCGAGGGAGCCGUUGCCCGCGGCUGCGGGCGGAUGCCUGUCUAUGGUGCUGGAGUUGAUGACGAACGUUUCCAAGCUGCCGCUAUUUUUCACUCUAAUAACGCGCUUCGGUUCUGCAAGCCGAAAGGAAUCGGAGCAACCCAGAUCCUAAAGAAAACUAUUUUCCACUCGGAUUGGCUACAGCGGGUUGUUUCUGGAAGGCCGACUUCUUCCUGAUUUUUAUUUUACCGUUGAAACACCAAAACCCGCGUAAAGUAUAAAAGUUUUUGCGGUUGACCAAUCAGCCAGAACAUGAAGUCCACAUGGCAGGGACUUUUAUUUGGCUAACUGCUAUAUCCUCAGCUCCUAGACAAGCGCUUGACACUUGAGAGAUACUGAAUGUGCAUGUCUGGAGCUCCAGGACCACCUGCAUGCUUACUGAUUCUCUAGGAGUCACAGGAUUCAGAAUAUCAUCCGAGAGACAACAAAGAUUUGAUGCAGCAAAAGGCUACCCAGCACAGGGAGCCAAGGAGAAAGACACAGGGAGCACAAUCCUGGGAAACCCAGCAAAAGCUUCCAAGGAUCCUUUCCCACUGGAAUUACCCAGGAUUCACUUCAUUCCUCCAGCAGCAAGUUAUGACCACAGUUCUGAAGAGUUUCCCACCAGGGAAGUUCAUGAAUACUUGGGCCCUUUUGCUCAAAGCCUGGUCACACAGGUACUUCUGCCUAAUUCCAGACCCCGGGGAGGAGAGCAUGUGUUCACAUAUUGUCUACAUGAGCAGUUCAGGCACAGGAAGGCUUUCUUAUCAUCUCUGGGAAUGCUGAGAACCCUCCUCAAAUCCAAAUUUCCAGACUCUAGAUCAGGGCCAAACUUGCAAGUAGGUCUGUCUAAAGAUAGCAGUCUCCGGCCUAUCAAGCUAACUCUUUUUUGCAUGAUGUGUUAAAAGAAUUUGUCACUUUUCAGUUGACAAAAAUGAAUCAUUUUAGAGCUCAUGAGUAAGAUAAGAUCAAUUAAAGAAAAUAUUUCCUUUUUUGCACACUGGAA